GCGUAAAAUCGCAAUGUUGGUGCUCGCGGUGUGGUUCACACGCCGCAGUUCAACGGGAAGCAGGAGGGUAAGGCGGUCAACGCUGCACCUAACCUGCGCUGCCCCCGCAACGGUAAGUGGACGAAUCUUAGUAUUCAGCCGCCAAAACUGCCACUGAGCGUUCUGAACACGCGCUUGGGAAGGCUUGGUCGGUUGUUCCACCAGCCCGGAUACCGGCCAACAAGGUGGUUGCACG
rnacentral:ncRNA from 2 species